rfam:Gossypium hirsutum cultivar TM-1 chromosome 25, whole genome shotgun sequence
UGUUAAAAUUUUUAUUUAUUUGUAUUAUUAAAAAUUGGUAUGAUUGAUGGAAUAAUCAAAUAGUGAUAUAUGUCUUACUACGUGUACCUUAUGCUAACAUAAAAAGGAUAAUUUUUUAUAAUAAAAAUAGAUAAUUUUUUUAACA